AUUGAACGCUGGCGGCAUGCCUUACACAUGCAAGUCGAACGGUAACGGCCUUCGGGUGCCGACGAGUGGCGAACGGGUGAGUAAUGUAUCGGAACGUACCUUUCAGUGGGGGAAAACGUAGCGAAAGUUACGCUAAUACCGUAUAUUCUGUGAGCCGGGAAGGAGGGGAUCGCAAGACCCUGCGCUGAUUGAGCGGCCGAUAUCAGAUUAGCUAGUUGGUGAGGUAAAGGCUCACCAAGGCGACGAUCUGUAGCGGGUCUGAGAGGAUGAUCCGCCACACUGGAACUGAGACACGGUCCAGACUCCUACGGGAGGCAGCAGUGGGGAAUUUUGGACAAUGGGGGCAACCCUGAUCCAGCCAUGCCGCGUGAGUGAAGAAGGCCUUCGGGUUGUAAAGCUCUUUCGGCCGGGAAGAAAUCGUAUCAGCUAAUACCUGGUGCGGAUGACGGUACCGGCAUAAGAAGCACCGGCUAACUACGUGCCAGCCGCCGCGGUAAAAC
rnacentral:rRNA from 1 species